UUAUGUGUAAUUUUUUCAUAAUUUUAAACUUACAGUAACUUAUUUAUGAAAAAUAAUUUAGAUAACUGUGGCCAAUCAUCAUUGUUACACCUAAACAAAAAAUAAAAAAAUAAAAAAAAAAUAAAUAAAUAAAUUAUUCAGGUACAUUUCUCAAACAAUUAUUUACGGUCGGACUAUGUAAUAUUUAAGCCACAUAAAAUAAGAGUGAGAGCGAGAACAAAUUUGAAAGCGAGAGUACAAAAAUGACAAAAUUAAAUCACAAAUAAUGAGAAUUUGCACGAGAGCAAUAGCAUGCUCCUAAGGUGAGAGCCACGCCCGUUGCAAAGGAUCGUGUGACUGGUGUAGUAUCUUCUUCUCCUUAUUUCUGGACAUUUUCAUCAAUGAAUAUUUGUUUUUCCUUUUUCUUCGUAUUACGGGUUUGAAAGCGGGUGGCCCGUCACAAACCCGGCCCAAAACCUUCACUGCUUUUCUCUGAAAUUAUGCCCACCACUGUUUCAGAGCGCCAAAAAUCUCUCUAAGCGCCAAAACCUCUCUCUCUCUCUCAUGCCGAGGCUGAUCCUCUUGGCCGGAUUAGCCACUUCCGUCGCCGUAGCUUCUAUAUUCAUCCGGGGAAUCUUCACUACCGGCGACAAUGCCAUCGUUCGUAGGUCCCGAUUUCGUAUGUCGAAUCUAACGAUUGAACGGUUCAGUUUCAGUGUCGGAUUGGACCGGCAGUGUUUGGAACUUAACACUGUGAUCAUACUCGGGAGAAGACGAUUCAUCUUGGUGGGUCGAUUCGGAGUGAAUACUCAUCUGGAGAUCGCGGUGCUUCUCGUGCUUCUUCUCCUCCGAUCACAGUCAUGGCCCAUAUUCUUACCGCUUUUGGAUGACAUCGAAGACGCUUCCGUCUUUUACCUUGAGAUGCAAAGGUGUCCUCGAUUCACUUGUAGGAUUGUCGAUGUGCGCAUGGAUCAGUAGUUGAUGCUGUACCGAAUACCAUCCCAAAACGUCAAACUAGGGUUUGCGGUAAUCAGAUCAGGAAGUUCACACACGACAGCCCCCUUAAGGUGAACGCAAGAAAGACUGCUGCUAUUUCAAAGAAAACAAGUAAAAAGAGGAAAAUGAAGGAGGUUUUGGUCAACAAACUUUGAAUUCUCACGAGAUUGCAACUAUAGACACGAACAUGAACGACCGAUAUGCGUAGGACAGUUUCUGGUAGAGUAUUGCAAAACUUCUUUGCAUAUAUUACGUUGGCUGCUGGUUGACGAUGCUCAACAUAUCCAUAUUGCCGUAUUCAGGUUUGAACUUGUAGAGUGAUGAACUUUUUCCUUUCUUUUGGUGUGAGGAUAUUUGUUAUAUACUUGGUAGGGUCCUUUUGUAAAGUUUAUGAUGUUUUCUUCAUAGUACUCCUUUUACAGACAAACAUGAACACUAUAAGGUUGACGCUUCUUUAUCUUAUCAGAGACUUGGGCUUUGAAAA